GACGUAGGGCGCGAGCGUUGUCCGGAUUAUUGGGCGUAAAGAGCUCGUAGGCGGCUUGUCGCGUCGGUCCGUGAAAACUUGGGGCUCAACCCCAAGCUUGCGGUCGAUACGGGCAGGCUAGAGUUCGGUAGGGGAGACUGGAAUUCCUGGUGUAGCGGUGGAAUGCGUAGAGAUCCGGAGGAAGACCGGUGGCGAAGGCGGCCUGCUGGCAGUUACUGACACUGAGGCGCGACAGCGUGGGAGCA
rnacentral:rRNA from 1 species